rnacentral:rRNA from 1 species
GCUGCGAGCGGAGGAGGCUUGAGGAGGGUCACCCCUAGUACGAGAGGACCGGGGUGAGUGGACCACUGGUGAACCAGCUGUCGUGCAAGCGGCAGUAGCUGGGUAGCCAACGUCCAUGAGCGAUAACCGCUGAAAGCAUCUAAGCGGGAAACGUGCUCCAAGACGAGGCCUCCAAGGGUCGUCCGAGAAGAGGACGUAGAUAGGCUGGAGGUGUAAGCCCCGCGAGGGGUUGAGCCGACCAGUACUAAUCACCCGAGACCUUUACCUAUCCCUAU